GACGAACGCUGGCGGCGUGCCUAAUACAUGCAAGUCGAACGCAGUGGGGACGGGUGAGUAACACGUUGGUAACCUCCCAUCAGAGGGGAUAACACUUGGAAACAGCUGCUAAACCGAUACUGAUGGAUGGACCCGCGGGGCAUUAGCUAGUUGGUGAGGUAACGGCUGACCAAGGCCACUAUGCAUAGCCGAGCGGGGAGGGUGAUCUGCCACACUGGGACUGAGACACGGCACAGACUCGUACGGGAGGCAGCAGUAGGGAAUCUGCGGCAAUGGACGAAAGUAUGACCGAGCAACGCCGCGUGAGUGAAGAAGGUUUUCGGAUCGUAAAACUCUGUUGUUAGAGAAGCGGUAACUAAAGAGAAAGCAACGGCUAACUACGUGCCAGAAGACGCGGUAAUAG
rnacentral:rRNA from 1 species